rnacentral:rRNA from 1 species
UACGAAGGGGGCUAGCGUUGCUCGGAAUUACUGGGCGUAAAGCGCACGUAGGCGGUUCGUCGCGUCGGCUGUGAAAUCCCGAGGCUCAACCUCGGGUCUGCAGUCGAUACGGGCGGACUGGAGUUCGGCAGGGGAGACUGGAAUUCCUGGUGUAGCGGUGAAAUGCGCAGAUAUCAGGAGGAACACCGAUGGCGAAGGCAGGUCUCUGGGCCGAUACUGACGCUGAGGAGCGAAAGCGUGGGGAGCGAACAGG